CCACAGAUAAGUGAUAUCAUAUGAUCUUUGUCUUUCUCUGUCUGACUUACUUCACACAGUGUAAUAAUCUCUCGGCAGGACUAUGUCUUUGGAGCUAAAAUGAGUUCAUUUUCUCUUUGGAACAACUACACUGGGACAAUUUUUAUACUAGUUCGGGUGUUUGCCAUAAGUAACAAUUCACUGGGCCAAAAAGAGUGGAACAAAGCAUGAGCAUGAUAGUAAAAGCAUCGAGGAGUCUUCCACGCUCCAUGUUUAAUCCAUUCAAUUUCCUGCUAAAGUGGAAUUCCUCGCAUCACCGUCAGCCCUUCAGGUCAGCGUAGAGCAGCAGUCUCCUUUGACUCUUCUGGAAGCUUUCCACUUUGGAACUCCCAAAGAGUGGCCAGCAGUGACCAAGACGGGUUCUCUUCUGCUGUGUGGUUCAUGAAACUGGAGGGCUGGCAGCGUGCUUCUGGUUGCCAUGGAAAUGACCAGGGCCACUGGCCUUCUGGAAACGGAAAAGAACAGCAAGUGCAAGAACAGGCAUUCCGUCCUUCCUGCCGGCAGAUCACACCAGCUGUCAAGCCUGAGUGAAGGAUCAGCCCGGGAGUGCAGGAGACAACCUCUUAGUGGAGCUCUGAGAUCACAGUCCAGGCACAAAGCAAGUGCGCAACAAAUGUUUACUGAGUGAAUGAAAAAAGCAUAGUGUAUCAAACGUCAGUGCACCAAGACUCCUUCAGCUGCUUAGUAUAGAAAUCCCAAUUCAGACUGGCUUGAAUAGGGAAAAAGUGUGGCUCACAUCUUUUUUUAAAAAUCAAGAAAGAAUGUCACUACCCCAUGGCCACAACUACUGCGUCAGUGCUCUGGAGCCCUUGAGCUGCAGCUACUGAGUCCCCGCACCUAGAGCCUGUGCUCCUCAAUGAGAGAAGACUUUGAAACGAGAAGCCUGUGUGCCACAGCUAGAGAGUAGCCCCCGCCCUCUGCAAACAGAGAAAGCCACUGUGCAGCAAUGAAGACCUAGCGCAACCAAAAACAAAAUAAAUCUUUUUUUUUUUUUAAAGAAAGAAUGUCG
rnacentral:lncRNA from 1 species